GUUUUCACUUGUCUUCGACUGAAUCAGUGUUGCCUUCUCUCAGGUUAUAUCUUUCGUCUAUGCUUUCGUCAAAGCAAAAAAUCCCUAAAUUAGAUGAAUUUUAUGCCUUGACUCAAGGCAUAAAUUCAUCAAAUGUGGUAUAUAGAGCGUAUUUAGCUUCAUAUAUACUAUUGAGUUUCCAGAGUCGUACGAGCGCUAUCAAGUAUCAGAAGCGAAUAAAAAUAAAAUAUCCUUACGAAAAAAAAAAUCGUCUACAAAAAAUAAACAUCAUUGUCAUGUAAGAAAAAGAAAAUUGACAAACUAAAUAUUAGUUCUUAAACAGUUGUUGACCCUUCCUCUCCACUAAAUCGUUAACCAAGCUUUCAAAAUCAAUGUCUCUAACCAAUUCUCUUUCGAUUGAUAAUAUAGCCAACUCACUCAAUCUUUCUUGUGACAUAGUCGACCGAAGAUACGAUUUGAUCAACUUCAGCUUUGAAAAACUUCUUUAAGCAGAUGCAACCGAAACUGGAAUCGUCAACAUUGUUCCUAUAAAGCAAUGGUACCUUCAAUAUGAGACAA
rnacentral:sRNA from 1 species